rnacentral:rRNA from 1 species
AUUGAACGCUGGCGGCAGGCUUAACACAUGCAAGUCGAGCGGGGGAGGUUGCUUCGGUAACUGACCUAGCGGCGGACGGGUGAGUAAUGCUUAGGAAUCUGCCUAUUAGUGGGGGACAACAUUCCGAAAGGGAUGCUAAUACCGCAUACGCCCUACGGGGGAAAGCAGGGGAUCUUCGGACCUUGCGCUAAUAGAUGAGCCUAAGUCGGAUUAGCUAGUUGGUGGGGUAAAGGCCUACCAAGGCGACGAUGUGUAGCGGGUCUGAGAGGAUGAUCCGCCACACUGGGACUGAGACACGGCCCAGACUCCUACGGGAGGCAGUAGUGGGGAAUAUUGGACAAUGGGCGGAAGCCUGAUCCAGCCAUGCCGCGUGUGUGAAGAAGGCCUUUUGGUUGUAAAGCACUUUAAGCGAGGAGGAGGCUCUUAAGGUUAAUACCCUUGAUGAGUGGACGUUACUCGCAGAAUAAGCACCGGCUAACUCUGUGCCAGCCGCCGCUGUAACAC